rnacentral:snoRNA from 1 species
CUUCUCUCAGGGUCACACCUGGAGAGUUUCCAGUAGUCUACCAGUCUUGACUACGGGAGGGAGAAUCAUGCAGAGGCAUAUCCAUUCUAUUUCUAGCUUGGGUAGUGGCUAGCGAGUGAAAGGCAAUCUGCUACAAGU